AUUGAACGCUGGCGGCAGGCUUAACACAUGCAAGUCGAGCGGGGGAAGGUAGCUUGCUACCGGACCUAGCGGCGGACGGGUGAGUAAUGCUUAGGAAUCUGCCUAUUAGUGGGGGACAACAUCUCGAAAGGGAUGCUAAUACCGCAUACGUCCUACGGGAGAAAGCAGGGGAUCUUUGGACCUUGCGCUAAUAGAUGAGCCUAAGUCGGAUUAGCUAGUUGGUGGGGUAAAGGCCUACCAAGGCGACGAUCUGUAGCGGGUCUGAGAGGAUGAUCCGCCACACUGGGACUGAGACACGGCCCAGACUCCUACGGGAGGCAGCAGUGGGGAAUAUUGGACAAUGGGGGGAACCCUGAUCCAGCCAUGCCGCGUGUGUGAAGAAGGCCUUAUGAUUGUAAAGCACUUUAAGCGAGGAGGAGGCUACUUUAGUUAAUACCUAGAGAUAGUGGACGUUACUCGCAGAAUAAGCACCGGCUAACUCUGUGCCAGCAGCCGCAGUAA
rnacentral:rRNA from 1 species